rnacentral:tRNA from 1 species
AAAAAGAUAAGCUAAAUCAAGCUAAUAGGUUCAUACCCUAUAUAUGAAAGUCAAGCCUUUCUCUUUUUA